rnacentral:rRNA from 1 species
GACGAACGCUGGCGGCGUGCUUAACACAUGCAAGUCGAACGGAAAGGCCCUGCUUUUGUGGGGUGCUCGAGUGGCGAACGGGUGAGUAACACGUGAGUAACCUGCCCUUGACUUUGGGAUAACUUCAGGAAACUGGGGCUAAUACCGGAUAGGAGCUCCUGCUGCAUGGUGGGGGUUGGAAAGUUUCGGCGGUUGGGGAUGGACUCGCGGCUUAUCAGCUUGUUGGUGGGGUAGUGGCUUACCAAGGCUUUGACGGGUAGCCGGCCUGAGAGGGUGACCGGCCACAUUGGGACUGAGAUACGGCCCGGACUCCUACGGGAGGCAGCAGUGGGGAAUAUUGCACAAUGGGCGGAAGCCUGAUGCAGCAACUCCGCGUGCGGGAUGACGGCCUUAGGGUUGUAAACCGCUUUUGCCUGUGACGAAGCGUGAGUGACGGUAAUGGGUAAAGAAGCACCGGCUAACUACGUG